rnacentral:tRNA from 1 species
AAAAAGGUCAGCUAAUUAAGCUGUUGGGUUCAUACCCCGGAAACAAAGGAAGAUCCUUUUCUUUUUG